rnacentral:misc_RNA from 1 species
GUGGGAGGGGGCUUGCCCCCGAUGGCGGCGGUCCAGUCAUAGAUGCUGUGAAUGACACACCGCUAUCGGGGGCAAGCCCCCUCCCAC